AUGACCCCUCUUCACAGCCAGUCCAUUCAGAGCCAAACAUCUCUUCCAAACUUGCUCAAAACACAUCAAAGAAUUAAGAGAUUCUCCCACUCAAUAGCAGUAACACACAUUCAACAAAGAAUGAAGAAUCACCACCUCUUUGGCAAACUUUUAACUAAAACACCUUUUCCACAAACACACCACCAGGGAGACACAACACCAGACAGUGUAUAUGAGGAAGAGAAUGACCUACAUC